CUUUUUUACUCACUUCUGACUUGUCCCUUUAUCACAAGCCCUGUAAAAUCCUAACAUACCACCACAAAUUCACCUUUACUUUCUCUUUCUAUUCUCUCUCUCAACAAGAACCUCAGUCUUCCUUCGUUGUUGGUCUUUCUCAACUGUGCUUGCCAUGCAUCCAAAACCUAAAUUCUUCAAAACCCAUCGCAAAUGAAAGAAAGUCUGUUUGUGAGAGCGAUCGGAGAAGAGAUGGGAGACAGAGACUGAGUAGGCUCUCCGGCGUCGACACUGGAGAUCCGUCGCAAAUGACUCCGGUGUCGAGAUGACCAAGGGGAUCCGCCGGCGGCGAAGUUUGUGGCAGCUCUCCGGCGUCGACAUCGGUGCAGAGGUAUCCACCGGCCGGAGGCAAUCUGGCAACAGGUUAUGUAUUCGUAAUAUGUAUUGCACUCUUACUGUUGGUUAUGAACCCUAAUACAUACUAAAGAUUUGGUUAUUAACCCUAACUAAUUAUUUGCAGGAGUUCUCUGUUUCUUUAUUAUGCUUUUAGAACAAAUCUCUUCUUAUUAAAUUUGUGAUUCUACUAUUUCUUAAAUGUGGGGCAGGGGUUUUGGGGAAAUUUGGGGAUUUUUGGGCUUUGAUGUUGGUGGCCUUUGACAACAGUGAUGAUUUUUGGGGAUUGUCUAUGAUGUUUCUAUAUUAUUUUGUUUGCAGCCAUACCAACUUAUGAACGCAUUUAAAAAAAAACCUUUAAAGAGGGAUAUUUUUAAGAAGAAGCUAAAUUUAUUGUGUUAUGUCUAUGGACUUUUUUUGUUCUGCAUUCUUAUACUGUGUUUUUUUUGAAUCGUGCAUUCUUAUAUAUUUUGGGAGAAAACCUUGCUUCAAGAUCUAUUUUAGGGUGGUCAGUUUAAAGAUGAUUCUUCAUAUUGGAGGAAUAAAGGAUCGCGACGGUGGCAGAGUUUAGAAAAUUAAUAGGGCGGCUCGCAUAUAUGCUAGGGAUAAGGUCUCCCGCCGACCACUCUCUUGGCAUUUGGGUUAGACCGGUGGUGAUGGUGUGGUGGUUUUGACAUGGAAAACAUGGUAGAAGGCGGUGGUGGAUGAGGGUUGGACAUCAAUACAUAAAGAAGGAACUUUAUAAAAUUCACGGUCCUACUUGGUAUUGUAUGGUCGGCACAAACUUGGCCGCCCCACCUCACGAACUCACAAAGCAAAUGAAAGAUUGAGACGAUUCAAACUGAACGAAGGUCGAAGGAAGGGUUGAAUCAUGAAGAUUAUGAGACAUAUAAAGAAAUCUAGAGGAAUAGAAGUGAAAUUGUUGGAUGGCGGUGACAUGUUUUGACUUUUGAGUUAUCACAUUUGAGUUGCAUUGGAAGAAUAGAGUUUUAAGUUUUGAUUCCAUUCCAUGUGCAGACUACAGAGAUAUAGGUGAAAAUUAAAUUGUUGAAAAGUUAACAAAGCUCAAAAGAAUUAUAUUUUUUUGCUUUUCCUUUUGAACAUGGUAUAUUUCUUUGGUUGUAUGUUCGAUGGAGUUUUGAUUUGAAAUUGAAAAAAUUGGAUGAUUGGUGUA